AGAGUUUGAUCCUGGCUCAGAUUGAACGCUGGCGGCAGGCCUAACACAUGCAAGUCGAACGGUAGCACAGAGAGCUUGCUCUCGGGUGACGAGUGGCGGACGGGUGAGUAAUGUCUGGGAAACUGCCUGAUGGAGGGGGAUAACUACUGGAAACGGUAGCUAAUACCGCAUAACGUCGCAAGACCAAAGAGGGGGACCUUCGGGCCUCUUGCCAUCAGAUGUGCCCAGAUGGGAUUAGCUAGUAGGUGGGGUAACGGCUCACCUAGGCGACGAUCCCUAGCUGGUCUGAGAGGAUGACCAGCCACACUGGAACUGAGACACGGUCCAGACUCCUACGGGAGGCAGCAGUGGGGAAUAUUGCACAAUGGGCGCAAGCCUGAUGCAGCCAUGCCGCGUGUAUGAAGAAGGCCUUCGGGUUGUAAAGUACUUUCAGCGAGGAGGAAGGCGAUACGGUUAAUAACCGUGUCGAUUGACGUUACUCGCAGAAGAAGCACCGGCUAACUCCGUGCCAGCAGCCGCGGUGAUACGGAGGGUGCAAGCGUUAAUCGGAAUUACUGGGCGUAAAGCGCACGCAGGCGGUCUGUCAAGUCGGAUGUGAAAUCCCCGGGCUCAACCUGGGAACUGCAUUCGAAACUGGCAGGCUUGAGUCUUGUAGAGGGGGGUAGAAUUCCAGGUGUAGCGGUGAAAUGCGUAGAGAUCUGGAGGAAUACCGGUGGCGAAGGCGGCCCCCUGGACAAAGACUGACGCUCAGGUGCGAAAGCGUGGGGAGCAAACAGGAUUAGAUACCCUGGUAGUCCACGCCGUAAACGAUGUCGACUUGGAGGUUGUGCCCUUGAGGCGUGGCUUCCGGAGCUAACGCGUUAAGUCGACCGCCUGGGGAGUACGGCCGCAAGGUUAAAACUCAAAUGAAUUGACGGGGGCCCGCACAAGCGGUGGAGCAUGUGGUUUAAUUCGAUGCAACGCGAAGAACCUUACCUACUCUUGACAUCCAGAGAACUUAGCAGAGAUGCUUUGGUGCCUUCGGGAACUCUGAGACAGGUGCUGCAUGGCUGUCGUCAGCUCGUGUUGUGAAAUGUUGGGUUAAGUCCCGCAACGAGCGCAACCCUUAUCCUUUGUUGCCAGCGGUUCGGCCGGGAACUCAAAGGAGACUGCCAGUGAUAAACUGGAGGAAGGUGGGGAUGACGUCAAGUCAUCAUGGCCCUUACGAGUAGGGCUACACACGUGCUACAAUGGCAUAUACAAAGAGAAGCGACCUCGCGAGAGCAAGCGGACCUCAUAAAGUAUGUCGUAGUCCGGAUUGGAGUCUGCAACUCGACUCCAUGAAGUCGGAAUCGCUAGUAAUCGUGGAUCAGAAUGCCACGGUGAAUACGUUCCCGGGCCUUGUACACACCGCCCGUCACACCAUGGGAGUGGGUUGCAAAAGAAGUAGGUAGCUUAACCUUCGGGAGGGCGCUUACCACUUUGUGAUUCAUGACUGGGGUGAAGUCGUAACAAGGUAACC
rnacentral:rRNA from 1 species